UACGGAGGGUGCGAGCGUUGUCCGGAAUCACUGGGCGUAAAGGGCGCGUAGGCGGCUUGAUAAGGUUGCGGUGAAAGCCCGGGGCUCAACCCCGGGUCGGCCGUGGCAACUGUCGAGCUGGAGCACUGUAGAGGCAGGUGGAAUUCCGGGUGUAGCGGUGGAAUGCGUAGAGAUCCGGAAGAACACCGGUGGCGAAGGCGGCCUGCUGGGCAGUGGCUGACGCUGAGGCGCGACAGCGUGGGGAGCGAACAGG
rnacentral:rRNA from 1 species